AUGCAUGUGCCUGCUGCUCCGAGAGCACGGGCAUGGCUGCCGCCCGAGGAUGAAGCGGUGAAGUUCAACUGCGAUGGAGUAUUAUCGACCCUGGGCGAGAAGGGAGCAGCGGCUGUGGUUUGUCGAGACAAGUCGGGGAAAUUUCUUGGAGCUUCAGCACUGGUCUUUGAAGGCUUGAUCGACCCGGCAAGUUUGGAGGCACACGCGUGUAGUGAAGCACUUGCCCUGGCCCGCGAUCUGAAUUUGCAGGAUUUGAUGAUUGCGUCUGACUGUCUAGAGCUGGUUUCAAACAUCAGCACACAAUCUGUACCGGUGUAUGCGCCUAUUCUGCAUGAUAUACACAUUACCAUGAACCUUUUCUCUUCAGUUGUCUUUCGUUUUGAGCGUAGAGAAAAUAAUUUUGAGGCCCACUCGGUUGCAAAAGGAGCUGUGUCUCUGCCGGUGGGCCGCCAUGUGUGGCUAGGGAUCCUUCCAGAGGUUGCUUGUAUUCCGGAUGUGAUGAACUUUGAAUAA
rnacentral:rRNA from 1 species